rnacentral:rRNA from 1 species
ACGCUGGCGGCGUGCCUAACACAUGCAAGUCGAACGGGGGAUGCGUAGCUUGCUAUGCAAACCUAGUGGCGGACUGGUGAGUAACGCGUGAGCAAUCUGCCGCAGAGAGUGGGAUAACACAUGGAAACGUGUGCUAAUACCACAUAAAUGUAUAACCGUGGCAUCGCGGAUAUACCAAAGGAGCAAUCCGCUCUGUGAUGAGCUCGCGUCUGGAUUAGGUAGUUGGUGAGGUAACGGCUCACCAAGCCUACGAUCAGUAGCCGAACUGAGAGGUUGAUCGGCCACACUGGUACUGAGACACGGACCAGACUCCUACGGGAGGCAGCAGUGAGGAAUAUUGCACAAUGGGGGAAACCCUGAUGCAGCAACGCCGCGUGAGUGAAGAAGUAUUUCGGUAUGUAAAGCUCUAUCAGCAGGAAAGAAAAUGACGGUACCUGACUAAGAAGCCCCGGCUAACUACGUG